AUCACGGAGGUCGGUCCCAUCGCGUUAUUGAUCACGGAGGUCGGUCCCAUCGCCGUUAUUGAUCACGGAGGUCGGUCCCAUCGCGUUAUUGAUCACGGAGGUCGGUCCCAUCGUUGUUAUUGAUCACGGAGGUCGGUCCCAUCGUUGUUAUUGAUCACGGAGGUCGGUCCCAUCGUUGUUAUUGAUCACGGAGGUCGGUCCCAUCGUUGUUAUUGAUCACGGAGGUCGGUCCCAUCGCCGUUAUUGAUCACGGAGGUCGGUCCCAUCGUUGUUAUUGAUCACGGAGGUCGGUCCCAUCGUUGUUAUUGAUCACGGAGGUCGGUCCCAUCGUUGUUAUUGAUCACGGAGGUCGGUCCCAUCGCCGUUAUUGAUCACGGAGGUCGGUCCCAUCGUUGUUAUUGAUCACGGAGGUCGGUCCCAUCGCGUUAUUGAUCACGGAGGUCGGUCCCAUCGUUGUUAUUGAUCACGGAGGUCGGUCCCAUCGCGUUAUUGAUCACGGAGGUCGGUCCCAUCGCGUUAUUGAUCACGGAGGUCGGUCCCAUCGCGUUAUUGAUCACGGAGGUCGGUCCCAUCGUUGUUAUUGAUCACGGAGGUCGGUCCCAUCGUUGUUAUUGAUCACGGAGGUCGGUCCCAUCGCCGUUAUUGAUCACGGAGGUCGGUCCCAUCGUUGUUAUUGAUCACGGAGGUCGGUCCCAUCGCGUUAUUGAUCACGGAGGUCGGUCCCAUCGUUGUUAUUGAUCACGGAGGUCGGUCCCAUCGUUGUUAUUGAUCACGGAGGUCGGUCCCAUCGCGUUAUUGAUCACGGAGGUCGGUCCCAUCGUUGUUAUUGAUCACGGAGGUCGGUCCCAUCGCCGUUAUUGAUCACGGAGGUCGGUCCCAUCGUUGUUAUUGAUCACGGAGGUCGG